GUGCAAGAGAACUCAUAUAGUAAAACACAUAUAUUUAUAUAUUAGAUUUAUAAUGAAUAAGUCCAGGUAAAUUUUUCUGACAAGCAUACAUGCAGCCGAAUAAAAAAAUAAAACAUAUUUAAGGAUAAUCUGGUAUGCAUUUUCAUAAUUUCUUCCUAAUAGCUUACCAAAUAGUUCUCUAAAUGCCUGACAUUCUCUCUAACUUGACUCAAUUCUCUUUCCAUCUCAGCCUCUCUCACUUGUCAUAUAGUAAUUUCAUUCCCAGGCUCUUGAUCCCCGUCCUCAAAUUUGGAAUUACUUCAGCCCCAUUGGAUGAUCCUUACUAUCAAUCCACUCAAAGAAAUUACACCUACCUUUACUUAGGCUUGCACUAUUUGAUUAAAUUCUGAUGCUUUGUGACAGGGAAGAACUCGUUCUCAUCUCUUUUUUCUCAAA
rnacentral:misc_RNA from 1 species